UCGUCGCAGCUUGCGGGCACGAACGCACAUACAUACGCCUGCACACACACACACACACACACACACUGCCGUUGCACGGAACGGAGGAGGCGAGGAAGAGAGUGAGAGAGAGACGGCCGUCCCCUCACCUCCUGCCACCUGUCGUACAAAACGCGAAUCCGCAAAAACAAAAUCACAUAAACGCGGGUGCGACUCACGGAACAUCACUGCGACGUGAAUCGCUGGAGGUGGCAUCGAGCAGUCCCCGUGUUUCCCUGACGCGAGCAAGCAACCACCUCUUGCAUGUGUCCCCAUAUUGACAGGCCUGUACGUUGCUACAGAGAGAACGAGAAACCACGCGUAGUAGAGAUGCAUAUUCACAUAGACGUACCCAAGGAUAGAUUGCCCUUUUUCUUUUUUUUACAAAUCGUCCUGUAUCUCAGCGCGCCGUCAUGAGCAGUGCUUCACCGCCUCCACCGCAGCGCGGCGAUGCUGUACAAGUACAGCUCGUGAACGCAGACGGCAGCACCAUCGCGCAGCGUCCCAUCCAUAUUGAGGAGCUGUUGCAGCAGAAGGAUCACACCGUGGAUAUCGGCGCUGGAAUUGCCCUGCGCCUCGAGGCGCUGAAUGCCGAGCAGGACUACAGCGACGACAACGACACCAGCGCACCCGACGACUCUGCUGACGACGAAGAGGGGACCACAGGCUCUGUCGAGGGUGCCGGAGCUCGAGAAGAGCCCGCCUCCGCUGCUGCCCCACCUCCCGGCACGCGGGCCACCAUGGACUGGUACGACGUGCUGGACGCGCUACGCCGCGAGCAGCUCGAUGUCAAGCGCAACGCGGCUGAGGUGGGCGACGCCAUGAGAAAGUCGGGUGAGGGCGAAGGCCGCCUUGUCACGCGACACCUCAAUGAGUUGCGCAGUGCAGCCACGCCGCUGAAAUGGUUUUCCAAUGCAGCGGGCCUCGAGGGCAAGGCCAUCGCCGCAGAUGAUGCCGCCGGGAGCGUGCCGCCACCAGGCGCGUCUCGGCGUGAGGUGUGGGCCUCUCUGGCACCGGCGAAGAAAAACGCGCAUCCGCACAACUACAAGCUUCUCCGCUACGUCUCUUAUAUGCCGGUGCUAGACUACCGGCGUUUUCGCCCCACCGCCCUCACCUUUCACGCAGCGGCGUCGUACUUGAGCCGCAAAGAUCGCGGCCAACGCCUGCUCGUCUACGGCGGCGUUUCCUUUGGCGCCCGCACCGUGGAGCAUGAGCUGUACGAAUUUUCUAUGCUGACGGGCAACUGGCGCCGCAUCGAGGGACGACAGCUCGUCCCGGCCGGCCACUACGGUCACACAAUGACAGUGGUCGAGUCGUUUGACCGCGUCGUGGUGGUGGGCGGCAUCGGGCCCGGCGGUGCGGCGGUUUCAAGGGAGAAGAGGCAGGCGUGGGGCACCGAUCCGCUGUGCGCGCCGCGGUAUCGAUGCCUGUGCCCACUCCUGCAUUGUCGUACCGAGCAAGCGGCGACUACGUUGGCACGCGCGGGUGGGACUGCUGCGCCGCUGCCCCUCUCUGUCUCACCUGUCUCGACCGGCUUUGUAUCUCUGCUCUUCGACAUGAACCUGAGUGAUCAGACGUGGCGUGCCAUCCAACCCGCCACCCAGUUUCCGCUGGCGUAUCAUACCACCGUGCACUUUGGCAAGGAGCUUUUUGUCUUUGGUGGGCUGACAGAUGAUCUGCGGGUGUCGGGGCAGCUGCUUGCCAUCAACUCCGCCACGUACGCGGUUCGCCGCAUCCAAACAAGCGCUGGCUCGUCCAGUCGAGGCCGACAGGGGGUGGCACCGGGUGAUGGGGCGGGGGAGGCGCACAGUGGCAGCGACCUGGAUGAGUGCGAGGCUGCGGGGCCGGGGCCGCGCUUUCUGCAUACGGCAGUACGGUACGGCCCAUACAUGAUUGUCUACGGCGGCUACGACGCGCAGAAUGAGGUGCUUGGUGACUGCUGGGCGUUCGACAUGGCGAAUGAACGGUGGGAGCAGCUGCGGUGUCGCGGCGAGGCGGCCGGCCGUGCAGGACACGAGUGCUGUGUCGUUGGCUCCCGCAUGCUCGUCACAGGCGGCUUUGAGUCGUCGCUCGAUGAAGUCGGCAUAGCAGCGUCGCCAGUAACGACAGUGAUGGAACUGAACCUUGUGCCGACAGUGCACGGGGAGCACAUGUGGCGUUCUGAAGUCGGCAUCCACCCGCCCUUGCCGCCGCUCGCCUUCACGCGGUGCGCACCGUGCGGCGACGAGCACUCGUUCCUUCUCUUUGGCGGGCUGACAAAGCUGGCGCGACACCGCAGCCGGUCCCGAUCGGUUGGCAAGCGCUCCGCCUCCGCGAAACGCUGUGCGGCGGCCUCCACCGAGGAAGAGAGCGACGUGGACGUGGACAGCCACCCCGCCUCCCACAAGGUGUCAGAGCGCGGGGCGUCUUUGGCGGCGCGCAACGGAUUUUGGAAGAGGCUUGCACCGUUCGACGACGGUCUUGUUUUGACUUUCCCAGAAAAGCGGCAGCGCAGCAAGGGGGCCAAGGACGAGCCGGUGGUGAACGCGCUCGGCAUCGAAGUCGUCCCUGACGAACUGCCGGAGCACUUCAAGACCUUUGUGCGCCGGCAGGAGGACUUUGUGAGGAAAAAGGACGCCGCAGCCGCAGAGACGAUUCGCAAGACGACGCUGGAGGAACAAGAGGAAAUGGAGCCGAUGCUGUACCUCACGGAUGACGAGAUCGAGUUGCUCCUGCACCGGAGCGAGGAGUGCUGCGUUGCGUUCGCGGAGCGCUACAAGAUGAACACGCUGCCAAGCAAUGUGCCGGACCGUGAAGAGCGCGUGCACCUGAUUGAGGAGUGCAUUUCCGAGAGUCGCCAGGUGCGGGAUGUCAUGCGCUCUAUGAAGGGUUCGGUGCCGGGCGUCACCGCCGUCAAGUCGAAGACGCACCGCAAGCGUGCUGGGCAGAAGUUCGAGGACUACGCUGCCGCAAAACCCUUCCGCCGCGUUGUGGUGAUGCACCUGCUGGAGAGCAUCAACCAACACCUGUCACGCAUGCAUCGACUCAACAAGGCGCUGCGGACGGUGGACUGGCCUGAAAAAGAGGGGUUCCUCGCGGCCGUGGGCGACAUGCAGAACUCCGUCCACGCCGUGUCGCGCGCCAUCAAUGGCGUCCUCAACAAAUACAUCCAGCAGCGAGUGGAGUCCCUUAUGAAGGGAGUGGACAAGCACAAGGAGGUGAUGCGGCUGCUUACGCAGGUGGUGGAGAAGAACCUGCACGACAAGAUAUGGGGCAUCGAGGCUGCGCGAGAUGAGAAGCGACAAAAACACCAGCGCGCCCGUGCCGCCGUGGAGACUCCUGGUCAGCCGACGGCUGCGGCGACGCAGGCCGCGAGACAGCGACGCACGCCAUCGGCUGCUGCGCGUAGUGGAAGCUCAUCUCCGGCCGCGAGACGAGGUCACACCGUCCGCAGCCGCUCGCUUGGUGGCGGCUACCACGCCGAUGAGAGUAAAGCUGUGGUACACAUGAUGGACAGGGAGUGGCACGACCUGCUGAACCGCGCCCGCAUGGUGGAGAAGUGCGCCGGCCGUCUGCGCCACUACUGCGAGGAAGGCGCGGUGACCAGCGACACAGCGCCGCUGUCAGCUCUGCCGCCACCACCAGCACCGCCGCCGCAGCAGCCAUCCGUCGAGGGCCCCCUUUCGUUGCCUCUUGCCCCGCAGCAGACACCUUCGUUGAUGAUACAAGUCCAGCCCUCUCUGCAGGCGCCUACGCUGGCGCCAGGUGGCUCGAUGGCGCCGCCGGUUUGCCUGCCCACCGGCGUGCCGCUUGCGGGCUUGCUGACGAGUGAGGCUCCAGUGGUUCCACCUGUGGCAGCCCCCGCGUCGACUGCGGGUGAGGCUGGUGCGGCUCGACCGCGCGAGAUCAUUAUUCAGCGCUCGAACGAGCUGCGAAUGACGACGGCGACGGUAGCGGAGGAGGUGCGCAAAGCAGCUCUGGACUUUCAAGCAGCGCUUACCCAGGCGGCUGCAGCGUUGCCACCGACGAGUUCCGCAAACGCAUUGUCGGCGACGACGACGGUGAGCCACCCCACAGCUGCACCACCGCGGACGACAUUAGGCGCCGAUGUCGUCGCCCACACCACUCCGGCUCCGCAACUGCCGGCCCCCGCCGUUAUGUCAUCGCACACGACAACGGCGGCGGCGACCCCUGGACCCACGCUGCCUUUCCGAUCAUCUCCAUCGGGCGCCAGCUCCUCUUCGUCGUCGGGAUCGUCGCGGUCGUCGUCGUCUUCGGGGUCGUCGGGACCGGCAGCCGCCGCCGUGAUGCGCGGUCCGUCGUUGCAGCAGCCUUCAGUAGGCCACUUACCAUCCGCCAUGGCGGCGCCGCUGGAGUCGACGGGGUUCGUGCAACUGCAGCAGCCAGUGACGGCGUCCUUGGGGGCGAGCACAGAGGCACCGCUUGCGAAUGUGCAGCAGCCCCAACUCACUCUGGCGGCAACGUCUUCGCACGAUGGCGCAACCGGCGCUUCCCAUGGUAGCCGCAAUGCAAACACAACCUCUGCUGAGCCGGCGCAAGUCUCCACAGUUCAGGGGCAUGCGGUGUACCUGAGCGCGCUGCGCCCCAUUCUCGCAGCGAAGGAGUCCCUCCAGCAGCUCCAAGACAAGGUGGCUCUGAUACGCCUGAACGAGUGGGACGCCAGCGACCUCGCCGGCGCGCCGCAGGAUGUGAAGGUGGAAAAGCUCUACAGGCGUCUCAGCAAAUUGCUGACGGGAGUGGCGCAGUCUGUCACGGCCACCUUCCUGGCCAAGGCUGGUGCGAGGCCACCUCGUCUCCGCCCCGCUCCCGUUUCUGUCGGGCCGCCGCCGCACCGGUCAAGGGGCAAGAAGUCGACGGGCAAGGCAAGGACCAGCGGCCCGUCCACAAAGCGUGCCACGCAGUCGAAGUCGCUCACCUCGGUGGCGGAGGCGUGCGCGACCCCUGCAUCCGCGGUCUUUUCGCAGGCGUUGUUCUCCAGCGCGGGAGGCGACAAGGGAGAUUCUUCUCGCAAGGGCGACGGCGCGGCAGCGUGGACGCUGCCCAGCGCCGCCGACGGCAAUGUGGGGGACGCCCUGAGGCUGAUGCCGCUUCCUCCGCCCGCCCACAACCAGGCCGAUGACGCUGAUGACGGAUGGCUGUCGAAGCGUUCUCGCCCCACCUAUGACGAGGCAGCUGGUGUACCUCUGGUCUCACAUGAGGCGCUCCUGCGGGAUGUCCGGCCAGCGGUUGUGCCUGCCGCUGCCGCAUUCACCAGUGCAGCCGGGCCAUCCGCCGUCGAGGUGCACGCGGUGUACCCGGACGCACGCACGGUGCCGAAUGCCAGCGCCACUAGCCUUUUGUGCGGCAGCGUGGCUCCACCGGCCAUAGCGGCGGGUCCGUGGGCACCCACGGUCAGCUCAGGGCAGACAAGCGGAACGGCGCCUGUUGCUACGGCGGCGCCUGUCGUGGCGCUGAGCGUCGUGCCAAAAGUUGUAAUGCCGGCAGGAGCGAAUGACGUGAGCACUGACGAGUCUGGGGCGGCCUACACGACACAAUCGCCACUGCGGCGCAGGCGCUCUACGAUUGCAGAUCUCGCGCAGCUGCGUCACCUCUCCCAGAGCCGGCUGGAUGACGGCAGUUUCGGUGGUGGAACAACCAGCAGCGGCGACGGCGUAGACCCUGUGACUCGCGAUCCGGUCACAAAUAUCACGAGGGGCAACUUUGUCGUGAACGCCGAGUACCUUUCUCGUGUGGCGCCGCAUGCGUUGCUGGCGGCGACCACUGCCGAGAUAAAGCUGCAGGGGGGUGCCGGUGGCAUGCAGCAGGCGUGGUCGGACAUCGAUGAGGACUAUUUCUACUUUGGCCGGCCUGUAGGGAAGCGCGUGGCGACUGCCGAAACGGUGGUGUCCGGCCCUCCCUACAUCUCUAACCGUCCGCGUGGUGGUGUGGGCGUGUCGCCGCCCGUGGGAACGGUGGUGGGCUCGCCGCGUGUGAAUGCGGAGUUAGCGGCUUCGUCAAUGCGCGGCAUCCCCGGCGUCACUCCUGCGUCGACGACACUGGGCACGCGCUCCUCUAGGGCGCGGGACAGCAGCAGCGGUCGUCGCGUGUCGGAUCACUACCUGUCAUCGACAGCGUCGCAGUUGCUGAAGUUGCACGCAGCGCGACCAGUCGUACGCAAAAGCGGCACGAAACACAGCUUCUUCACCCCCGGGGAGCUGCAUCUGAUGCAAGCCCGCGAGCGGUUGCGGUCAAAGUCGUCCAUGUGAUUGACACGCAAGCGCAUGCUGCUUUUCGGCGCGAGACAGCCUCUGCGGGAUAUCUCCACAUGUCCAUCAAGGCUGUGCCAGCGUUUAUGUUGAUAUGCGCUCGUCAGCAACUUUCUGAUACGUUUCUGCGCAGACCCGUUCGCGCGAGAGAGAAAGCGACGAUGCGGGGCACACAAAGGCACGCACCUGAGUACGUUUCAAGGGGCGGUCCGAAGUGCGCUGCCGUGGUUGUGGCCGCUGACGCACAGCCAAUAGAAAAUAGAUGCAGAGUGGAUGUGAUAAAUGAAAUCGUCGAUAAAGCACGUUUGACGGCGACUUGCGCGCUUGCCUUGCUUUGCCGGUGCUUGGGUGCUCUGCCUUUUAUUCCGGCUCCACGCAGAGGAGCACCGAAGUCAUAUACAGCUGCUUCUCCGCCACCUCUCGCAUCUCGACGGAUAUAGACGGCGUGUGUGUGUGUGUGGGUGGGUGCUUGUAGGCGUGACCGCAAAGGCGCAUUGCUCUAACACGAGGAAACGUCUCCUUCGGUUUCGUCUGAUCUUCGUAUUAUAUAUAUCUGUGCACAACGCGCGUGUUUGCUUGCCUCUGGGGGUGUGCUGGGAGGUAUAUCGCAUGUGUGUCUGUGUGUGUGUGUCGUCUCCUCUUAUCUCCGUCCAUGAAGCGAACAAAGCACACGGAGCAGGAAACAGACGUCAAGUGCGUGCGGAAAAAAAACGGGAGACGCAGCAGCGGACGGCAAAGUCUGUCGAUGGCAUCGUACACCAAGAGUGGUGCUGGCGGGAGUGGGAUAGUAGACGCGCAUCGGCUUUUCUCUCUCAGUGUUGCAUGGCUCGCCUGUGAGCAAAAGUUCACGGGGCGCUGGCUGGUUCCUUGUUUUCUGCGGGCAGCAUGGCGCUUCCCACGACCUGCACCAGCCCUUUCGGUAUGUGCACGCUGUUUCGCUCGCGAUCUCGGCUUUCCUUUCGUCCCUUCUCUCCCUUCCGCUUCCCUCUCCUCUAUUUGGC
rnacentral:misc_RNA from 1 species